UCCGUUUGGGUUUUUUUUGUUGGGCCUUUUUGAUAUAAGAUAGCCCAUUAGUCGAAUUUGGUUUUUAGGGUUUUUGUUGUUGUUUAAAGGAGCAAUAAGAGCGUAACCUACAAAAUCUUUCCUAUCAUCUCCUCCGCCGCUCCUCCUUUCUUGUAAAAAACCUAAACACUACUAGUCCGAGGAACGAAGAAGGGUACAGCUUCCGGGAAUCCAGCAUGAGAGCCAAGUGGAAGAAGAAGCGUAUGAGGAGAUUAAAGAGGAAGAGACGAAAGAUGAGACAGCGAUCUAAGUAGUAGAUUCGGGUGUUUGUUUCGUGUCUUUUCUUCUUUUUGUGAACCAACUCUUCUUGUGGGAGUUUUGUUGGUUUUGCUAUUUGAAUGUUUUGUUGGACCAAAUCGAAUCUAUGUUUUUGUAUUAGAAUUAUGUUUCAUUACAUGGAAUGAUCCACAUGAGUUCCUGAA